UACGAAGGGGGCUAGCGUUGCUCGGAAUGACUGGGCGUAAAGGGCGCGUAGGCGGCUCAUACAGUCAGAUGUGAAAUUCCUGGGCUUAACCUGGGGGCUGCAUUUGAUACGUGUGGGCUUGAGUGGGGAAGAGGGUCGUGGAAUUCCCAGUGUAGAGGUGAAAUUCGUGAGAUAUUGGGAAGAACACCGGUGGCGAAGGCGGCGACCUGGUCCUUGACUGACGCUGAGGCGCGAAAGCGUGGGGAGCAAACAGG
rnacentral:rRNA from 1 species